rnacentral:rRNA from 1 species
UAAUACAGAGGUCCCAAGCGUUGUUCGGAUUCACUGGGCGUAAAGGGUGCGUAGGUGGCGAGGUAAGUCGGAUGUGAAAGCUCGGAGCUCAACUCCGAAAUGGCAUUGGAAACUACCUUGCUCGAGGGUUGGAGGGGGGACUGGAAUUCUCGGUGUAGCAGUGAAAUGCGUAGAUAUCGAGAGGAACACCAGUGGCGAAGGCGAGUCCCUGGACAACUCCUGACACUGAGGCACGAAAGCUAGGGGAGCAAACAGGAUUAGAUACCCUGGUAGUCCUAGCCGUAAACGGUGCAUGUUUGCUGUAAAAGGAAUCGACCCCUUUUGUGGCGUAGCCAACGCGAUAAACAUGCCGCCUGGGAAGUACGGUCGCAAGAUUA